UUGCUGGGCUUACGUGGCAGUGGACCUUGUCAGUGCCAUGAGGUUAAUAAACGGGCAAGAUGAUACAUUUGUUCCGUUAAGUGUAAGGGAGCUAUGUUUCUAUGCAAGACCUGGAGAGCGGAUCCUGCGUACAGUGCAAAAAAUAGGGCACAGGUGCCAUGAGCUUCGUGUUGAGUUUGCUUUUGACUACAUAAUGAGUACGGGAGUAAGAAGACAAGGAGGGAACGAAGAGACAUUUGACUGCGUAGAAGGUGGUUCUGGUGAAGGAGAGGAUACGGUUCGAAUAGAAGAUUACACCUUUCUUGGCAGGGAUUUCAAGGCUGCUCUAAAGAGACUUCAGUUGCAACCAAUAGGAGCAUCACUACACGUAUUUGAGGAGUACUGGGAUAUCAAAAAGGUAAAUAGAUUUUAAAUAAAUUUUCUAUUUUAUAGAUUUUAUUGACUUGUUCUAAAUUGUUUGUCAUAGCAGGGAGACAUUUAUCGCGGACCCACGAGCAACAGUACCAAGUAUUACGGUCUUCAUGCAGUUGUUGUUGUGGACGCAUUCUUCAUUGACAGUGAACUCAUUUUUUGGUGCAAGUCCAGCAGCGGUAAACAACUCCAUGAUGAAGGUUAUAUCAUGGUGUCUGCAGCCAUAAUGGUCUUGGGUCUCCAUUACGAGAGUGACAACGACGAACCAACAUUUGGCAUUAGAGACCAGCGAAGAAGCAAAACGGCACUUUACGAACCAGCAUAUCUCAUUAGUGAUUUUGUGUAUCCCAGGAUGAAGGCCAAGUCAAAGAAGCAGGCAAAUCCAUCGCUAGGAAGAAACGAUCUCAUAGAUGUUCAUCUGUCCAAUGAGGAUUUCAAAGAUGUCCAUCCUGCUGUUGAGGUACACUCACACUAAUUUCCUCUCCUUCUGUUCUCUGAGUUUGUUUCUGCAAAAAAAUAUGGUGAAUGUAUCUACUCUUAUGUGUUCGUUGUCUGAUUUGUCCUGUCUUCAUCAUUGGUUACAGACAAACGAUUCGGUGUGUCCUUCCCCACCACGUGAUAGAUUUGCAACUUACAGUGUAGGAGCCGUGAAGAGAAAUGGUGGGUGCAUAUUUUUUGCACAAGGACACUGUCCUUUCGGGAUUGACUGCUGGUUUUCUCACCUGGGUGGUGAAAGAAGUUGCAUUGGUGAAGCUAGUACCUCAAGGUUGGGUCGAUGUUUCUCAAACGAGUUGGGCUUACCGGGGAUUUCACCACCUCUUGGGAAUGAACAUGAACCUCCUUGGAAUAACCAUGAAAGAGCUGACGCUCCUUCCUGAUUUGGUGAAUGGACUUGCUCACGUUACUCUCUCUAUCUGUUUUCUGAUUGUCUUAUUGGUCCCUCUGCAGGCAAAUCCAUCGCUCGGAAGAAACAAUCUCAUAGAUGUUCAACUCUCUAAUCAGGAUCUCAAAGAUGUUCAUCUUGCUGUUGAGGUACACUCUCACUAAUUUUUUCUCCUUCCUCUGUUCCCUGAGGUCUAAUUUGUCCUGUCUUCAUCAUUGUUAGUGUUUAGAUGUUUAUUAAGUCCAUAAUAGUUGUAGAAUCUCACACACAAGGACACUUCUUCUCUUUCACUCUUUAUUUCUUUCUCUGCGUUUUUUUUUGUUCAUUGGUACCUCUUUCUUCAAAAAUGGUGAAUGGACUUGCUCAGGUUACUCUCUCUAUCCGUUUUCUGAUUGGUCCCUCUGCAGGUAAAUCCAUCGCUAGGAAUAAAAAAUCUCAUAGAUGUUCAUCUCUCUAAUCAGGAUCCCAAAGAUGUUCAUCCUGCUGUUGAGGUACACUCACACUAAUGUCUUCUCCUUAUUCUGUUCUCUGACUUUGUUUCUGCCAAAAAAUAUGUUGAAUGUAUCUGCUCUAUGUGUUCGUGGGCUGAUUUGUCAUGUUUUCAUCGUUGGUCACAGACAAACGAUUCCGUGUGUCCUUCCCCACUACGUGACAGACUUGCAGCUGACAGUGUAGGAGCCGUGAAGAGAAAUGGUGGGUGCAUAUUUUUUGCACAAGGACACUGUCCUUUCGGGAUUGACUGCUGGUUUUCUCACCUGGGUAGUGAAAGAAGUUGCAUCGGUGAAGCUAGUACCUCAAGGUCGGGUUACUGGUUCUCAAACGAGUUGGGUUUACCUGGGAUUUCACCACCUACUGGGAAUGACGAUGAACCUCCAGGGAAUGACGAUGAACCUCCUGGGAAUAACUCUGAAAGAGCUGCAGUUAUAAGAAACAUAGUAUGCGAACUUGAGAACCAGUCGCUCCUUCCUGAUCUUGUGAGGGAACUUUUUGGCUCCGCUGUGUACAGGAGCUGCUGCAAAGAAGGAACGCCUCGGGGUAUAUCCUGCUGGUUUCAACCAGAAGUACAAAGCCUUCCGAUUUUCAAUAACCAAUUUUUAAGUUGGCGUUCUCCAAAAAGGGUAUGUUAAUUUUAUUAACUGUCUUAGUUUUCAGUUUAAUAUUUUUUUUAAUUCUCUCACUCUUGUUUCAGUCUAACUCCCCUUGGGAAGAUGGAGUUACAAGGGUUGAUAGAAGAUGGGUUCAACUUACUGUAGAAGAGAAGAAUAUUGUUGGACCUAUUCGUUCUAAACAAGAAGAGGACAUAGUAGGACUUGUCCGAGACCAGAAGGUUCACUGUAAGUCUUUAAUUUUUUCAACCUGUGUGUUUAGAAGGCAUAGUCUCUUAGAGGCGCUAGCUUGGUGCGUCUUACAGUUUUCUUUACAAAACAUGGAGCGCCCUUGUUAAUUCAAAGUUUUGGGUUUUGUUUUUACAGUGCUUUGCUGGGCUUACGUGGCAGUGGACCUUGUCAGUGCCAUGAGGUUAAUAAACGGGCAAGAUGAUACAUUUGUUCCGUUAAGUGUAAGGGAGCUAUGUUUCUAUGCAAGACCUGGAGAGCGGUUCCUGCGUACAGUGCAAAAAAUAGGGCACAGGUGCCAUGAGCUUCGUGUUGAGUUUGCUUUUGACUACAUAAUGAGUACGGGAGUAAGAAGACAAGGAGG
rnacentral:lncRNA from 1 species